UACUCCUACGGGAGGCAGCAGUAGGGAAUCUUCCGCAAUGGGCGAAAGCCUGACGGAGCAACGCCGCGUGAGUGAUGAAGGUCUUCGGAUCGUAAAACUCUGUUAUUAGGGAAGAACAUAUGUGUAAGUAACUGUGCGCAUCUUGACGGUACCUAAUCAGAAAGCCACGGCUAACUACGUGCCAGCAGCCGCGGUAAUACGUAGGUGGCAAGCGUUAUCCGGAAUUAUUGGGCGUAAAGCGCGCGUAGGCGGUUUUUUAAGUCUGAUGUGAAAGCCCACGGCUCAACCGUGGAGGGUCAUUGGAAACUGGAAAACUUGAGUGCAGAAGAGGAAAGUGGAAUUCCAUGUGUAGCGGUGAAAUGCGCAGAGAUAUGGAGGAACACCAGUGGCGAAGGCGACUUUCUGGUCUGUAACUGACGCUGAUGUGCGAAAGCGUGGGGAUCAAACAGGAUUAGAUACCCUGGUAGUCCACGCCGUAAACGAUGAGUGCUAAGUGUUAGGGGGUUUCCGCCCCUUAGUGCUGCAGCUAACGCAUUAAGCACUCCGCCUGGGGAGUACGACCGCAAGGUUGAAACUCAAAGGAAUUGACGGA
rnacentral:rRNA from 1 species